CGGUUCUCGCGCACCAGGAACUCGCUCUUGAGCGCGCGGCGCGGCCCGCCGCCCUCCUCGGCGCCCGCCGCCAGCUGCUCGGGGCUGCUGGGACCCAGCUGCGCGUAGUGCUCGAUGAAGUCGCCCAGCGAGUCGCGGAACUCGGCGGCCACCGCCAUCGACAGCGUGAGGCGGCUCUUGGAGCCGCCCGCGCCCACCUCGGCGAUCUUGAGGAAGCGGCCCUUGGCGUUCUGCUUCACGUCCAGAGGACCCAGGUUCGAGUCUCAGAACACACACACGGCAGCCCAUAAGCCAUGUAUAAUUCCAGUUCCAGGGGAUCCAGCACCCUCCUCUGGCCUUCUUGAGCACCUGCACACACAUGGUUAACAUACAUGCAGGUUGACUUCUGCUUCUGUUAGGGAGUGCUCUCCCAGGUCAUCAGGUCCUGGGCAUUCAGAUCACAAAGACAAGCAAUGUCUCCACGUCACAUCACUGCUCCCAACUCUCUAUUUGGUGCUUUGAAAAGCACUGCUCAGACUGGCCUGGCGGUGCAUGAAUAAGCCCAGCUCUCAGGGACAAGAAAGAUCAGAAAUGCAGGAGGAGGGGUUCUUGCCUGUUUGUGUGUCGGUGCAUUGCAUGCCCACUGAGGGUGUGAUGGCUAAAGAAACUCCAUUCUGUGUUGGGAGUUCAUCUUGGUACCAAAUAACCAUUUGUCCUCUGACUCAAGUUCCUGGAAGACAUUCAAGGACUGUUCUGAAGUUACCUUGACCAUCCAUCUAAUCCGGGUAGAGCAGAACAGUCCCCGUGGGUUUUACCUUUAAAUGUCCUUCCUGCUCCCUCAUCUGACUCUGAUUGAGUGCAGCCUUGCCAGAAGUUCUAAUAAAUUCUGCUAAUUAUAAUCAGAA
rnacentral:lncRNA from 1 species